GGCCACGUAGCCCAAUCGGCAAGAGGCGCGAGUUCGAGAUACUCGAGGUUGCUGGUUCGAGUCCAGCCGUGGUCACCA
rnacentral:tRNA from 1 species